rnacentral:rRNA from 1 species
ACAGAGAUGGCGAGCGUUACUCGGAUUUAUUGGGUGUAAAGGACAGGUAGGUGGCUAUGCAAGUUGAUGGUGAAAUCCUGUGGCUCAACCACAGAACUGCCUUCAAAACUGCGUAGCUUGAGGCUAGAAGAGGAGAGCGGAAUUCCCGGUGUAAGGGUGAAAUCUGUAGAUAUCGGGGGGAACACCAGUGGCGAAAGCGGCUCUCUGGUCUGGCCCUGACGCUGAUCUGUGAAAGCUUGGGGAGCAAACAG